AAAAAACGACUCUCGACAACGGAUAUCUCGGCUCUCGCAUCGAUGAAGAACGUAGCGAAAUGCGAUACUUGGUGUGAAUUGCAGAAUCCCGUGAACCAUCGAGUCUUUGAACGCAAGUUGCGCCCGAAGCCGUCAGGCCGAGGGCACGUCUGCCUGGGCGUCACG
rnacentral:rRNA from 1 species